rnacentral:rRNA from 1 species
UACGUAGGGUGCAAGCGUUGUCCGGAAUUAUUGGGCGUAAAGCGCGUGUAGGCGGUCCGGUAAGUCGGUUGUGAAAGUCCAGGGCUCAACCCUGGGAUGCCGACCGAUACUGUCGGACUAGAGUUCGGAAGAGGCGAGUGGAAUUCCCGGUGUAGCGGUGAAAUGCGCAGAUGUCGGGAAGAACACCCGUGGCGAAGGCGGUUCUCUGGGACGGUACUGACGCUGAGACGCGAAAGCGUGGGGAGCGAACAGG